GUCUUGCGAUCUGCUCAUUUAGUGCUUUGUUUUUUGCGGCUAAUGAUUCCAGCUUGGCGGCAUCUACAUUAUAUAAAUCCUCUGGAGACAAAAAUCCCAAAACUUGGUGGACAGACUGAGAAAGUCUAGGUCACCCCUAAAGAAAGCGUCCUCCCACGGGAAUACAUGGGGGUGAUGUUUGCUUGUGGUACCUCAAGUGGCAAUAGAGUCUUCUGUUUUGAUCAACUCCAUCUUCUUUAGAGGAACAGCUUUGGAAAUCAUCGUCUAUUUUAUUUACCUCUCUGAUCUUUUAUAUACAAGAAACCACGGGGUAAGAAUCUGCAGGCAUCCAGCUCCAUUUCCAGUAAGCAGCUCACAGAACCCUUAGCUACACACACUGCUAGCCCAGAUGUGAUCUGAACGACUGAAAGCUUGCUCACUGGGCAGAGACACUCACUCAGCUUGGACUGCAACUCUGAGUUCAUCUCGUCAAAGGAGUCCGCGCCAGCCAUGAAGCUCGCGUAGCACUUAAUGGUGUAGUCCAGAAACAACUGACGGGGGAAGCAGACGUUAGAGACAAAUGCACGGCUUCUCAAGUGGGAUUUAAGUCUGAAUAAAAAUCAAGUCAGGAACACUAAGUAGUUAAUGAAUUCCUAUGAAUAGGGACAAAACCCUGUAUCAUUAAUUACAUUGUACAAAGUUGGUCUACUUCUAAGUGUAAAUAAUGAGGAUGAAAAUAACACUUAAAUUUGGAUAAUGAUGACAUUUAAAAAUAGUAAACUAUGUCUUUAGAAUUUUCAGGUCAACUAAACAAGAAAUGCAAGUGCAAUCCAAGAUAAAAUGCACAAACUCUAUUGUUUUUAGCAGCAUUGUACCUUAUGAAGAACUGAACUGAAUUACCAAUCAUCUAAGUUCAGUUCAACUGACAGGGCCUAACUGUAAAAAUCAAAAUAUAAUUAAUAGAGGCUAAUAACCACCUUGUACUGUAGGUGAGAAUGGCAUGGGAUGUAGAAAUCUAAAGAGCUGAAUAUUAGUGUUCUUUUUUUCCCCUUCUUUUGAGACAGAAUCUUGCUAUGUUGCCUACACCAGCUUUGAACUUCCCUGCCUCGGCCUCCCAAGUAGCUAGGAUUACUGGUGUGUGCUACCAGGUGUAGCUUUAGAGUCUGUAAUAUUGCUUAGAGAAAGAAACACUGCAUUUUGUAUAGUCAGAAGUAUUCUGGUCACUGAGAAUGCUUGUAUUAAUGAGCGGAGGAUGGCUGACCCUGGGAUGAAGUUAAAUAACUCCCAGGACAAACAAAUUCCCCUCAGGUUCUUUCUUUACUAGGUGACAUCCUCAUUACUUAGUUGACGUGGAAUGGGUGCCCGAAAUAAGCAGUGUGAAUAUUCCUGGAACCAGAGAGGUUUAUCACCAAUGCUAACUUAAUACAUUUUUAUUCAGUCUCUUGUGAAUUUAGUAAAAGACAAUUGCUUUGUGUAAUUUUUAUCUUUAUAGAAUGAAACAAAAUGAGUUUGUAGCACACAGGCUGUGAAUCAGAAUCCGUUGGAAAAAUAAAAAAAGGGAAUCGUGAAGCUGGGAAAUCUGAUGAAUUGCUACAAUUAAAAACAGCACUUAGGUUUUCAAAGUGCUUCUCUAUAAACUGUCACUUGAAAUAACACUGGAAUAACUUUACUGACAUCUUUGUUCUGUAAGAGGGAAAGAAACACUAUAUAAUGUAUACCAUAUUAUUCAGUUCCAUAAUUUUUUUCAUCUUCAGUAGAAAGGAAAUGAACUCUG